UACAGAGGCCUCGAGCGUUAGGCGGAAUCACUGGGCUUAAAGCGUGUGUAGGCGGACUUCUAAGUACCUUGUGAAAUCCCACGGCUCACCCGUGGAACUGCUGGGCAUACUGGCGAUCUUGGGCCAACUAGGGGCAACUGGAACAAGCGGUGGAGCGGUGAAAUGCGUAGAUAUCGCUUGGAACGCCAAAGGUGAAAACAGGAUUGCUGGGGUUGUGCCGACGCUGAGACACGAAAGCCAGGGGAGCAAACGGG
rnacentral:rRNA from 1 species